rnacentral:rRNA from 1 species
GACGAACGCUGGCGGCGUGCCUAAUACAUGCAAGUAGAACGCUGAAGGCGGAGCUUGCUUCUCUGGAUGAGUUGCGAACGGGUGAGUAACGCGUAGGUAACCUGCCUGGUAGCGGGGGAUAACUAUUGGAAACGAUAGCUAAUACCGCAUAACAGUAGAUACCGCAUGAUAUCUACUUGAAAGGUGCAAUUGCUUCACUACUAGAUGCACCUGCGUUGUAUUAGCUAGUUGGUGUGGUAACGGCUCACCAAGGCGACGAUACAUAGCCGACCUGAGAGGGUGAUCGGCCACACUGGGACUGAGACACGGCCCAGACUCCUACGGGAGGCAGCAGUAGGGAAUCUUCGGCAAUGGACGGAAGUCUGACCGAGCAACGCCGCGUGAGUGAAGAAGGUUUUCGGAUCGUAAAGCUCUGUUGUAAGAGAAGAACGAGUGUGAGAGUGGAAAGUUCACACUGUGACGGUAACUUACCAGAAAGGGACGGCUAACUACGUG